rnacentral:misc_RNA from 1 species
GAAGUAUUGUAUAAUUUCCGAUCCUGAAGACUCCAGAGCCACGCGGCAACUCGACGCUGAUUAAUUUUUAUCCAGGGAAUCUAUGAAAAUUUGAAGAGAAAAACACGAGAAAUUGAAAAAGAUAUUUAUGGAGACCGAAAAAGGGCCCACACGCCCAACCAGGCUCCCUCAUCUUCACCUAUAUAAAGCACCUUCGCCAUUCAUGCAAUUCUCGCCAAGUUUUACCUUUGUGAGGCGUCUUCUUUGAAGAAAACACCAAACCCUAGUUCUUUCGAUCUUUAAUCUCUAUCCAUUCUUCUUUCCGUUACUUUCCCUCAUUAUCCUUCUUUUUCCCGGAAAAUUCUCAUAUCUUUCUCUCUCUUUCUCUUGUGUACCUUUCGUUCCUUAGAUCUGCAUGGUGUGGGGUUAUUUCGGUGCAUAGAAUCUGCUUGAUUUCAAUUUUCUAGGAUUGGAUUAAGAGUUGUCGUUUUGGGAAAAUUCUUCUGGGGGAUCGGAGUGGGGAUUAGAGAGAAGAGUAGAUUAAAGAGAGAGGGUUGGGUCCAGUCUCAAUAGAUCUUCUACUGCUUCUUUUGAGGGGGUAGCCGGGGCCUCGGCCUCGGCGGGUUUUAAAGCCCCCACCUUCACAAACUGAAAAGAAGAAAAUCAUAAUCCUAACCCUAACUUUUUAACAAAUACAGAUCGUUGCGGAAGAGGAUGCCGGCCCUGGCUUGCUGCGUAGAUGCUGCCGUUGCGCCUCCCGGCUACGCUUUCGAUGCCGGGGGUGGCUCCCUUCCGUCGCCGGUCCCUUUUUCCGACAUAACUCCGGCACCAACCAACCCCACUGGCUGCAUCGAAAACUCUCCUUCCCAAUGGUCACCUUCCCUCUCCUCUGCACUCUACAAGAUCGACGCUUGGGGAGCUCCUUACUUUUCUGUCAACUCCUCCGGCAACAUAGCCGUCCGUCCUUAUGGGGCUGACACCCUGCCUCAUCAAGAAAUUGAUCUCUUGAAGAUCGUGAGAAAAGUUUCAGAUCAGAAAUCCAUGGGCGGUCUUGGCUUGCAGCUGCCCCUUAUUGUUCGCUUGCCUGAUGUGCUCAAAAACCGCCUCGAGUCUCUGCAAUCAGCUUUCAAUUUUGCAAUCCAGUCUCAGUGCUACGAGGCUCAUUACCAAGGCGUUUAUCCUGUUAAAUGUAACCAGGACCGUUUCGUUGUUGAGGAUAUCGUGAGAUUUGGAUCUCCAUUCCGGUUCGGAUUGGAGGCCGGGUCGAAACCGGAACUCCUUUUGGCUAUGAGCUGCUUGUGCAAGGGAAAUCCAGAAGCUCUCCUUGUUUGUAAUGGAUUCAAAGAUGGAGAGUACAUUUCACUGGCAUUACUCGCUAGAAAACUGGCUUUUAACACAGUGAUUGUGCUUGAGCAAGAAGAAGAGCUUGAUUUGGUUCUGGGAUUGAGCAAGCAAAUGUCUGUCAGGCCCGUGAUUGCAGUGCGAGCCAAGCUGAGAACCAAACAUUCGGGCCAUUUCGGGUCCACCUCGGGCGAGAAAGGGAAAUUUGGGUUAACCACGACCCAGAUUUUACGGGUUGUGAAGAAGCUUGACGAAGCAGGAAUGCUUGAUUGUCUCCAGUUGCUGCAUUUCCAUAUUGGAUCUCAAAUUCCUUCUACUGCCUUACUCGCUGAUGGUGUAGGUGAGGCUGCACAGAUCUACUGCGAAUUAGUCCGUCUCGGUGCCCACAUGAAAGUCCUCGACAUUGGAGGUGGGUUGGGCAUCGACUACGACGGAUCCAAAUCUGGUAGUUCGGAUCUAUCUGUGGCUUAUGGACUCGAAGAGUAUUCUCUGGCUGUUGUGCAAGCUGUUAAGCUUGUUUGUGACCGCAGGAACAUUAAGCACCCUGUGCUUUGUAGCGAGAGUGGCCGCGCUAUUGUUUCUCAUCACUCCAUCUUGAUAUUUGAGGCUGUAUCUGCAAGCGUAUCUACUGCUGCAUCAAUGACUCCCACUGGGUUACAAUAUUUUAUAGAGGGGCUUAGAGGGGAUGCCCUUUCGGAUUACAGAAAUUUAUCAGCCGCAGUGGUGAGAGGCGAGUAUGACACCUGCUUGCUCUAUGCUGAGCAAUUGAAACAAAAAUGUGUUGAUCAGUUCAAAGAAGGAAAUAUUGGUAUGGAACAAUUAGCUGCUGUUGAUGGGUUUUGUGAACUGGUGGGUAAAGUAAUUGGGUUAUCGGAGCCAAUUCGCACUUACCAUGUCAAUCUGUCAGUUUUCACCUCAAUUCCGGAUUUUUGGGGGAUUGGCCAAUUGUUUCCUAUCGUUCCAAUUCAUCGACUAGAUCACAGGCCUGCGGUGAGAGGGAUUUUGUCUGAUUUAACAUGUGACAGUGAUGGGAAGAUUGACAAAUUCAUUGGCGGCGAGUCAAGUUUGCCGCUGCAUGAAAUUGAAGGCGGUGGGCGGUACUACUUGGGGAUGUUUUUGGGCGGGGCUUACGAGGAGGCGCUCGGUGGAGUUCACAACCUGUUCGGUGGGCCCAGUGUUGUGCGGGUUUUGCAGAGUGAUGGACCGCACAGCUUUGCGGUGACUGCAGCCGUGCCUGGCCCGUCUUGUGGUGAUGUCCUCCGGGUUAUGCAGCACGAGCCUGAGCUCAUGUUCGAGACCCUCAAGCACCGUGCUGAAGAACUUUGCCUCCAUGACGAAGACAGUGACGAUGGCUGCGAGAGUGAUCAUGGUAUGGGCAAUGCUGCAUUAGCUAGCAGCCUUGCUCGCUCCUUCCACAACAUGCCUUACCUUGUGGGAUCAUGUUCACUGACUGCUUUGAAUAAUGGUGGUUUAUACUAUGGCAACGAGGACGCUGCUGAUGUUGCUGGUGGUGAUGAAGAGCAGUGGUCCUCCUAUUGCUGUGCUUGAGCUUUUAAUUAAUUAGCUACAUCGCUUAUAUUUACCGUGUAUGGUUGGUUUUGUGCUAGAGUGGUAAUUUUUUACUUUUGUUGAUUCCCAUUUUGAUGCUGGACUAUCUUUUCUUUGGCCUUUUUGAGCAGAAAGAGGGAUUGUGGGAAACCGAAUAAUUCACCCUACCCGUUUGUAAAUUCGGUUGUUCCCUCUUCUUUUAUUGUAGAUUUUUCGAGUUUUUAGUUCAAUUGGUGCCUUUGUUCCAUGCGUAUAUUCUUUUCAGUUUUUGAGAUUGCGAAGUUGAUGUUCUACUGGUGGCCUUUUUUUUUAUAAUUUUUUUCCCGACUUCUGAUCUUGUGUAGGCCCUCUCUCUAUUUAGUGGUUAGAUUGUAGUAUUUUAUAAUUUUUAAUGUGAGAUGGGUCUGUCUUCGGUGGAAAAAGCUAGAAAAC